UACGUAGGGUGCGAGCGUUGUCCGGAAUUAUUGGGCGUAAAGAGCUUGUAGGCGGUUGUCGCGUCUGCUGUGAAAAUCCGGGGCUCAACCCCGGACUUGCAGUGGGUACGGGCAGACUAGAGUGUGGUAGGGGAGACUGGAAUUCCUGGUGUAGCGGUGAAAUGCGCAGAUAUCAGGAGGAACACCGAUGGCGAAGGCAGGUCUCUGGGCAUUAACUGACGCUGAGGAGCGAAAGCAUGGGGAGCGAACAG
rnacentral:rRNA from 1 species